UACGUAGGGUGCAAGCGUUGUCCGGAAUUAUUGGGCGUAAAGAGCUCGUAGGCGGUCUGUCGCGUCUGCUGUGAAAACUCGGGGCUUAACCCCGGGCCUGCAGUGGGUACGGGCAGACUAGAGUGUGGUAGGGGAGACUGGAAUUCCUGGUGUAGCGGUGAAAUGCGUAGAUAUCGUAAGGAAGACCAGUGGCGAAGGCGGGUCUCUGGACAGUUCCUGACGCUGAGGCACGAAGGUCAGGGGAGCAAACGGG
rnacentral:rRNA from 1 species